AAUAAGGUAAAAAAGAAUGAGUUCUUUUUUUAUUUUGAUUGAUUUGUUACAUACAUCACAUAAUACAAAUUCAUUUACAUUGUAAAUAUAUUAAUAUUACAUUACAUUGCCUUAAUUAAAAAUACAAAAAAAAGGGAAAUUAAAAAUAAAAUAAAAGAAUGUCAAGUUUGCUUCACACGAGUUCCAUGCCAAACUUCAUUGCCCAUGAAUUCCAACCUUGCCAUAUUCUCAUCAUCAUCUCCAUGCAACGUCUUAUCAUCU
rnacentral:lncRNA from 1 species